AAGUUUGUCUUUCUCUCCAAACUUCCAUUUUUCUAUAGCACGUGCAGAACAGUGGUUUUAAUAGUAUACACAUACAAGAACUGUUACAUCACUUUUUGAAAAUUUACAUACAGUAACUCCAAAACCAGAGGAAAUUUAGCAAGUUGACAUUUUUACAACAUAUACUAGGUACAGUAUACCAAAAUUAUUCAAAUUCUGUUUUUAAGGUACAGGUAUCUCUGUCAACUUAAAAAGCACUAGAUCCAAUUCAUUUUGGAAAUCCCUAAAAAUUAUUUUUACAUUUAAGUUGUUACUAUGCCUACCUUUUUCCUUGCAAUGAAUUUAGUAAAUAUCAAUA
rnacentral:lncRNA from 1 species